rnacentral:rRNA from 1 species
UAGGGAAUCUUCCGCAAUGGACGAAAGUCUGACGGAGCAACGCCGCGUGAGUGAAGAAGGAUUUCGGUUCGUAAAACUCUGUUGUUAGGGAAGAAAAAAUGUAUAGUAACUAUAUACAAAAGAGACGGUACCUAACCAGAAAGCCACGGCUAACUACGUGCCAGCAGCCGCGGUAAUACGUAGGUGGCAAGCGUUGUCCGGAAUUAUUGGGCGUAAAGCGCGCGCAGGUGGUUUAGAAAGUCUGAUGUGAAAGCCCACGGCUCAACCGUGGAGGGUCAUUGGAAACUAAUAAACUUGAGUGCAGGAGAGAAAAGUGGAAUUCCUAGUGUAGCGGUGAAAUGCGUAGAGAUUAAGAGGAACACCGGUGGCGAAAGCGGCUUUUUGGCCUGAAACUGACACUGAGGCACGAAAGCGUGGGGAGCAAACGGG